rnacentral:rRNA from 1 species
AGAGUUUGAUCCUGGCUCAGGAUGAACGCCGGCGGUGUGCCUAAUACAUGCAAGUCGAGCGCACUGGCCCAACUGAUAUGACGUGCUUGCACUGAAUUGACGUUGGAUUCCCAGUGAGCGGCGGACGGGUGAGUAACACGUGGGCAACCUGCCCUGAAGCGGGGGAUAACAUCUGGAAACAGGUGCUAAUACCGCAUAACAACGAAAACCACAUGGUUUUCGUUUCAAAGAUGGUUUCGGCUAUCACUUCAGGAUGGGCCCGCGGUGCAUUAGCUAGUUGGUAAGGUAACGGCUUACCAAGGCGAUGAUGCAUAGCCGAGUUGAGAGACUGAUCGGCCACAAUGGAACUGAGACACGGUCCAUACUCCUACGGGAGGCAGCAGUAGGGAAUCUUCCACAAUGGGCGAAAGCCUGAUGGAGCAACGCCGCGUGAGUGAAGAAGGUCUUCGGAUCGUAAAGCUCUGUUGCACGGGACGAAAACCGAGCUUGAGAAUAUUGAGUUUGGGUGACGGUACCGAGCGAGGAAGCCACGGCUAACUACGUGCCAGCAGCCGCGGUAAUACGUAGGUGGCGAGCGUUGUCCGGAAUCAUUGGGCGUAAAGGGAGCGCAGGCGGGCAUGUAAGUCUUUCUUAAAAGUUCGGGGCUCAACCCCGUGAUGGGAAAGAAACUACAUGUCUUGAGUACAGGAGAGGAAAGCGGAAUUCCCAGUGUAGCGGUGAAAUGCGUAGAUAUUGGGAGGAACACCAGUGGCGAAGGCGGCUUUCUGGACUGCAACUGACGCUGAGGCUCGAAAGCCAGGGGAGCGAACGGGAUUAGAUACCCCGGUAGUCCUGGCCGUAAACG